UUCCGGUUGAUCCUGCCGGAGGCCAUUGCUAUCGGGGUCCGAUUUAGCCAUGCUAGUCGCACGAGCUUAGACUCGUGGCGAAUAGCUCCGUAACACGUGGCCAAACUACCCUACGGAGGAGGAUAACCUCGGGAAACUGAGGCUAAUACUCCAUACAGCUCUCUGCCUUGAAUGGCUUGAGCUGGAAACGCUCCGGCGUCGUAGGAUGUGGCUGCGGCCGAUUAGGUAGACGGUGGGGUAACGGCCCACCGUGCCGAUAAUCGGUACGGGUUGUGAGAGCAAGAGCCCGGAGACGGUAUCUGAGACAAGAUACCGGGCCCUACGGGGCGCAGCAGGCGCGAAACCUUUACACUGCACGCCAGUGCGAUAAGGGGACCCCGAGUGCGAGGGCAUAUAGCCCUCGCUUUUGCACACCGUAAGGUGGUGCGCGAAUAAGGACUGGGCAAGACCGGUGCCAGCCGCCGCGGUAAUACCGGCAGUCCGAGUGAUGGCCGCUAUUAUUGGGCCUAAAGCGUCCGUAGCCGGCCAGGCAAGUUCGUCGGGAAAUCCACCCGCUCAACGGGUGGGCGUCCGGCGAAAACUGCCUGGCUUGGGACCGGAAGACUCGAGGGGUACGUCCAGGGUAGGAGUGAAAUCCUGUAAUCCUGGACGGACCGCCGGUGGCGAAAGCGCCUCGAGAAGACGGAUCCGACGGUGAGGGACGAAAGCUUGGGUCACGAACCGGAUUAGAUACCCGGGUAGUCCAAGCUGUAAACGAUGCUCGCUAGGUGUGGCACAGGCUACGAGCCUGUGCUGUGCCGUAGGGAAGCCGAGAAGCGAGCCGCCUGGGAAGUACGUCUGCAAGGAUGAAACUUAAAGGAAUUGGCGGGGGAGCACUACAACCGGAGGAGCCUGCGGUUUAAUUGGACUCAACGCCGGACAUCUCACCAGCUCCGACAGUAGCAGUGACAGUCAGUGUGAUGAGCUUACCAGAGCUACUGAGAGGAGGUGCAUGGCCGCCGUCAGCUCGUACCGUGAGGCGUCCUGUUAAGUCAGGCAACGAGCGAGACCCGCAUCCUUAAUUGCCAGC
rnacentral:rRNA from 1 species